AGACGAACCGUCCAAACGUUAUUCGGAAUCACUGGGCUUAAAGGGUGCGUAGGCGGCGCGGAAAGUUGGGUGUGAAAUACCUCGGCUCAACCGAGGAACUGCGCCCAAAACUUCCGUGCUCGAGGGAGAUAGAGGUGAGCGGAACUUAGGGUGGAGCGGUGAAAUGCGUUGAUAUCCUAAGGAACACCGGUGGCGAAAGCGGCUCACUGGGUCUCUUCUGACGCUGAGGCACGAAAGCUAGGGUAGCGAACGGGAUUAGAUACCCGAGUAGUCC
rnacentral:rRNA from 1 species